rnacentral:rRNA from 1 species
UACGUAGGGGGCAAGCGUUGUCCGGAAUCAUUGGGCGUAAAGAGCGUGUAGGCGGCUUGGUAAGUCCGCUGUGAAAGUCCAGGGCUCAACCCUGGAAAUGCCGGUGGAAACUGUCAAGCUUGAGUCCGGAAGAGGCGAGUGGAAUUCCUGGUGUAGCGGUGAAAUGCGCAGAUAGUCAAGGAGGAACACCAAUGGCGAAGGCAGCUCGCUGGGACGGUACUGACGCUGAGACGCGAAAGCGUGGGGAGCAAACAGGAUUGAG